ensembl:lncRNA
GGUUAGGGUUAGAGUUAUGUUUAGGCUUAGGCAUCGGUUUAGGCUUAGGCUUCAGGUUCGUGUUAUGAUUAGGGUUCAUGAUAGGAAUAGUAAAGGUGUUUUGUAUUAGGGUUAGGGUUAGGGUAAGGGUUAGUGCAGGAUUAAAUUUAAGAUUAGGGUUAGGUUUAGGCUUAUGUUUAGUUUUUGUGUUUGGGAUCAGGUAGGGGUAGGGGUAGGGUAAGGGUUAGGUUUUAGUUUAGGUUUAGGGUUACGGUUUGACUUAGGCGUUGGCUUAGGCUUGGGGUUCAGAUUAAGUUUAGAGGAAGGGCUGGGGUUAGGCCUAGGGUUAUGGUUAGGUAUAGGGUUAGGGGUAGUGUUAAAGGUAUAUUGUUU